UCAAUGUGCAGAUUAAGAAUGCUUCCGGAUAGUGGCUCCACGUCGCUUUCACAAGCAACUAAACUAUUACAUUAACAAAUCUUCCCUGGAUACAAAGCACGAUAGACUUUCAAGAGAGAGUGGGGGGGGGGGGGG